CCUACGGGAGGCAGCAGUGGGGAAUAUUGCACAAUGGGGGAAACCCUGAUGCAGCGACGCCGCGUGAGUGAAGAAGUAUUUCGGUAUGUAAAGCUCUAUCAGCAGGAACGAGACAAGACGGUACCUGACUAAGAAGCGCCGGCGAACUACGUGCCAGCAGCCGCGGUAAUACGUAGGGGGCAAGCGUUAUCCGGAAUCACUGGGUGUAAAGGGAGCGUAGACGGCUGUGCAAGCCUGAAGUGAAAGGCGGGGGCCCAACCCCUGGACUGCUUUGGGAACUGUACGGCUGGAGUGCAGGAGGGGUAAGUGGAAUUCCUGGUGUAGCAGUGAAAUGCGUAGAUAUUGGGAGGAACACCAGUGGCGAAGGCGGCUUACUGGACUGUAACUGACGUUGAGGCUCGAAGGCGUGGGGAGCGAACGGGAUUAGAUACCCCUGUAGUC
rnacentral:rRNA from 1 species